UAGGUGAGGUGCCCAGGACUUUAUGGAGACUGUAGGUGAGGAGCCCAGGACCUUAUGGAGACUGUAGGUGAGGAGCCCAGGACCUUAUGGAGACUGUAGGUGAGGAGCCCAGGACCUUAUGGAGACUGUAGGUGAGGAGCCCAGGACCUUAUGGAGACUGUAGGUGAGGAGCCCAGGACCUUAUGGAGACUGUAGGUGAGGAGCCCAGGACCUUAUGGAGACUGUAGGUGAGGAGCCCAGGACCUUAUGGAGACUGUAGGUGAGGAGCCCAGGACCUUAUGGAGACUGUAGGUGAGGAGCCCAGGACCUUAUGGAGACUGUAGGUGAGGAGCCCAGGACCUUAUGGAGACUGUAGGUGAGGAGCCCAGGACUUUAUGGAGACUAUAGGUGAGGAGCCCAGGACCUUAUGGAG